rnacentral:rRNA from 1 species
UACGGAGGGGGCUAGCGUUGUUCGGAAUUACUGGGCGUAAAGCGCACGUAGGCGGCUUUGUAAGUUAGAGGUGAAAGCCCGGGGCUCAACUCCGGAAUUGCCUUUAAGACUGCAUCGCUAGAAUUGUGGAGAGGUAAGUGGAAUUCCGAGUGUAGAGGUGAAAUUCGUAGAUAUUCGGAAGAACACCAGUGGCGAAGACGACUUACUGGACACAUAUUGACGCUGAGGUGCGAAAGCGUGGGGAGCAAACAGG